rnacentral:lncRNA from 1 species
AAGGAGGAUCAUCUGCUGUGGGUGUUCCUGAUCUUUGAGCCAUGAUAAUGUUACUGGUUGGAUGUCAGGAGCAGGCCAUGUGGAUGAUUAAAAGAUGAAUAUCAUAUACAGCAUGGAUAUGUUGGACAAAAAGAUGAUUCACAUCCCAGACAGAAUGGAGCAGCACAUUUAUUAAAAGCCAGAAGCUAGAAGACGAGGAAAGAAGAGGUGGUUAAAGAAAGAUACAGUAACAGCAGUAAUAUCUAACAGGAAGGCUACAGGGGAAAAUACAGAAAUUCCAUAAAGAACAAACACUGUAACUCAAAACCAAAGCUUUGCUAGUCACUAGUGCCCGCUACAUCCUAACAGGUGCCGCGUAUUUAAUUGUGAAGUCUUUAACAAUCACAAGAAUAUCUCUGAAUCAUUAAGAGAAUGUUGAAAAAUAGCCACAUAAAGAAAGCAAUAAAGG